ACCAGAGCCAUAUCUCCCUGCAGUUCUUGCCUGGUGUCCGAUUGACGCUAAGCAGGGUUGAGCCUGGACAGUACCUGGAUGGGAGACCGCACUAGGAAAACUAAGGUUGCUGCUGGAA
rnacentral:rRNA from 1 species